UCUGAAUCAGAGGCCACAGAUGUUC
rnacentral:piRNA from 1 species